UAGUGGUUCAGCACAAGCACUUCAGAGUGCUCUCAUUAUUCUAUCCUGCUUUAUUCUAUCCUGUAUUAACCAUCUUUCUGUAAUAAACCGUUUUUUACCUUCAGAGGACAAGUCUGCGAGUGUUGUCUAAUUUUCACGACAAUUUGGUGUCUCCUGACUGGGCUGCGUGAGUCUUUUCAACUUUUCUGGACAACAAGCAAACCGGUGGACGCUCGUGGAAGUUUCACCCUGAAAGCCGUAUUAACAUGCAGUUUGCUCUUUAUUAUGCAGAGCAAAAGACCAAUGUAGCCUUGCCACUGACUGGAAAAAGAAUGACGGUCCUAGAGCAGCUUGAAGUACAAAAGAGUAACACUUCUGGAAAUGCUCAGGUGGAGCACCUCCACAAGCUCCAGGCUCCUGCUCCACCCACUGUCCCCAGAAGAGGUACCUCUCACACCACUGCUCAUAUUAAACAGUUUAUCAUCCACUAAACAUACUGAAGCAAUUGCAGUCAACAUCUAAAACUAUUUCUGAAGAAAUACAGCACUGUUAAAAUAAAGUACAGUGCCUUGUAUAAGCAUUCACCCCCUUUAUCAUGUUUUAUAGUUGAAUAUUAUGGAAUAUGUUUCAUGUUCAUUACAUAUAAUCCCACUUAGGUCCAUUUUCAUUCCAGGUUGUAACACUAUAAAAUGUGGAAACUUUCAAAUGGGCCAAAUACUUAUGCAAGACACUGCCAGCUGGCAAGAUAUUAAAUGUAUAUUGCACUACAAGUUCUUAAACUUUGUUCUAUUGGACAGUCUAAUCACAUUUGUUGUGUUUCUAAUACACACUAUCUGUUAAUUUGGUUGUUUUCUUGAAGGACGAAAGUUGCUCCCAGCCCAGCAGGAGAGACUAGAGCGUAUAAAGGCUCAUCAGCCCAACAUCAACACACCAUGGUAACUAUUUAAAAAAAAAAACACUACCUGAGUCAUCUUUAAAUUGUCAUUAUUAAUUUAUCUGUAGUGAACCUUGGGUUAUUGUUUGUAUACUUUAUGCCCAGAUGAACCUGAUUUCUCUAACUCUUACUCUCUCUGAUUGCUAUAGCGGGACUCGGUGGGUGACUGAGUAUACGGAAAACUUUGGUUUGCCGCAACCUGUCCGCUUAACUCCGGAGAAAACUGCACACUGGAAGGCCUCGAUCUUUUAUAGCACACGUAACCCUCAUUCUGCAGACAAGUGUCGACACACCGAAUAUCAGGCUCUCUACAGUCCUGAGGUAGUAUAAAACUCUGUACUAAUUAUGAAAGGGCAGUUACUCCAGCCAAAGGGUUUAGUACUGACUCUCUCUGUUCUUAUCACAACUAUCCUACCAUUAUUAUUUUUCUUCCAAAUGAAACUGUGCAGGAUAUUGGGUCCCAUAAAGAGGGCCAAAUGGAUUAAUUACCUUCUCUGUAUGUAUGAAGUUGCAGUUUAAAUACUUGUGGUCAUUAUUUCAUCGCUCUGUACCUUAAAUCUCUUUUUAACAGAUCUG
ensembl:lncRNA